UAGGGAAUAUUGGUCAAUGGGUGCAAGCCUGAACCAGCCAUGCCGCGUGCAGGAAGAAGGCCUUCUGGGUUGUAAACUGCUUUUGCCAGGGGAUAAAAUGACCAUGCGUGGUUAAUUGAAGGUACCUGGUGAAUAAGCCACGGCUAACUACGUGCCAGCAGCCGCGGUAAUACGUAGGUGGCAAGCGUUGUCCGGAUUUAUUGGGUUUAAAGGGUGCGUAGGCGGCCCUGUAAGUCAGUGUUGAAAUCCCCCGGCUUAACCGGGGUGGUGGCAUUGAUACUGCAGGGCUUGAGUACAGAUGAGGUAGGCGGAAUUGACGGUGUAGCGGUGAAAUGCAUAGAUAUCGUCAAGAACACCGAUAGCGAAGGCAGCUUACUGGGCUGUAACUGACGCUGAUGCACGAAAGUGUGGGGAUCAAAC
rnacentral:rRNA from 1 species